rnacentral:hammerhead_ribozyme from 1 species
AUCCAGCUGAUGAGUCCUAAAUAGGACGGAACGCGCGUCAAACUGCAU